rfam:Monodelphis domestica chromosome 7, whole genome shotgun sequence.
AGCUUUGCACAGUGGCAGUAUUGUAGCCAAUGAUGUUUAUUGGAGGCAUGAUUAUUGCUAACAGAAAACUGAAAAGUCUGACCAAAUGGGAAAUAAUAUUGGAAAUAAAUAUAG